UACGGAGGGUGCAAGCGUUAUCCGGAUUUAUUGGGUUUCAAGGGUCCGUAGGCGGUUCUGUAAGUCAGUGGUGAAAUCUCACAGCUUAACUGUGAAACUGCCAUUGAUACUGCAGGUCUUGAGUGUUAUUGAAGUAGCUGGAAUAAGUAGUGUAGCGGUGAAAUGCAUAGAUAUUACUUAGAACACCAAUUGCGAAGGCAGGUUACUAAGCAACAACUGACGCUGAUGGACGAAAGCGUGGGGAGCGAACAGG
rnacentral:rRNA from 1 species